GAGAACAAGAAAGAAGUGAGACAGAGAAGCACGAUGGAUGAAUUCAGAUGGAUUCAAAUGUUUUUAUGUCUGAUGCUGAUGAUUCAGAUUGCAGUCUUCUCAACAGUAUCUGUAAAUGAAACAUCCAUGUUUAUGAAAGUUGGAGAUGACGUCACUCUGCUUUGUCUAAAUGUGAUAGAUGAGCAGAAUAACUGUGACGGUACUACGUGGACGUUUGCUUCAAGAAACAAACCAGCAACAGUAGAGCUGAUCACACUUGGACAGAUUGGUAAAGAAGCCAAAACUAAAUCAGACAGACUGAGUGUUACAGCGAACUGUUCUCUGCUUAUAAAGAAGCUCACAGUUGAGGAUGUUGGUCUUUAUUUCUGUCAACAAUACAAAGUCGAGGAAACACCAUCUAAAUACACUCUGGUUCAUCAGUCUUUGGUUGAUCUCUCUGUUAUUACCUUGACUGAACAUAAGGACACUGAUAAGGUGAAGUUAAG
ensembl:lncRNA